AUAAUGUAUGGCUAAUGAACACAAUUAAACCCUUAUAAACAGCUUAUUUACAAGUGUAUAUGCCACUGCUAGUGGCUGAGGUUUGCAUCUUAAAAUAAACAAAUACCACCUACUGUACUUGUCUGCGUGCGGGCAAAAUACAUGUGGACACGCUACAGCAUAUACAUAACUUUCAAUGUUUUUGGUCGACAGGGACAUCUGUAGCUCAGUUCUUGGAGCAUGGCGCUCGUCAUGCCACAUGCAUGGCUUCCGUGGACCACCCCUGCACACAUUUGUUAUUAGGAUGUGCUCUCAUUGCAUCAGUGGUAUGGAGAGGGAUGGUUUCUGUCGGCGGGCUAGCGGAGAAGCAGAGAUUAAUGGAGGGGUCAGCAAUAUCUCCGGUCCCUUUGGGUUUGGUCUUGAAAACCUGCCAGCCGAUGACAGAGGGCAGUUUCCUUGCAGACAGUCACUGGGGAUGGUUAGGCACAGUACUUGUGAUUUGAUUGUCCUCCGUCGAGCCUGACCCGGGGACGACUUUGUUCUGCCAGCGAGGACACCAAAUGAACACUGAGCCAUUUCACAGCCAGACUCUCUCAUUCUAAUGAGGGUUGCCCCCCAGAAAUGGACCCUAAUUACCCUGAUUAUUACAAUCUUUUUGUUGGAGAAUAUAAAAGACUCAUCAUUGUUCUUUUUGAAUUGUUCAUUACGAUUAUUUUCAAGCCUGCAGCCUUUUUCCGGGGCUUUUUUUUUUUUUAAAGAACGGGGUGGGGGGGGGGUGAAAGUCUUUGAUUCGCUAAUAACCCAACAGUGGUGUCAGAAGGGGAGCUGUCCAUAGAAAAGAGCUGAUCUGGCUGUCUGUCGACGUCCAUGCUCUUCAGUGCCUAACCUAAGGCCCUUCUCUGAAUGUUGAAACAGGCGGCAGGGACGGUGUGCAAUUAACUGACACUAUAAGGAUCAAGGUCUUUUUCAAGUCAUCCAAAUAAUAUAUUUGAAUUGUUAAAAGGAUAACGUGUCAGUUAUAGCUACCGUUUACCGUCGCCAUGACAUUCAGCCACUUCUGCUGAGAGGUGUUCCUUUUUUUUUUCUCUCCUUUUUCUCAGGCAUAUUAAACAGGUAGACAUUUGCAUUGGGAUCUCUAUGGAGGAACUGGAUUGGUUCUUGUGUUUGUUCAGCUUUCUAUCUCUUUGCCCGGCCUUGUAGUAGUCAGACAUCCACUUUUGACACCUGUAAUUGAGUCAAGCAAAAUAAACUCAUUUUGUU
ensembl:lncRNA